AGGACGAACGCUGGCGGCGCGCUUAACACAUGCAAGUCGAGCGAGAACCAGUCUUCGGACUGGGGAAGCGGCGAACGGGUGAGUAACACGUGGGUAAUCAACCCUUGACACCGGGAUAGCCCGAGGAAACUCGGAUUAAUACCGGAUGGCCCAACAGUCUUUCGGGGCGGUUGGAAAAGGUAGCUUCGGCCUCCGGUCAGGGACGAGCCCGCGGCGGAUUAGCUUGUUGGUGAGGUAACGGCUCACCAAGGCGACGACGGGUA
rnacentral:rRNA from 1 species